GUCUUGAUGCAUUUGAUAAUCUCAAAUCACAGGAGUAUACUGUGAGAUAUUGCCGAAACCGGCUUUCUGGUGGUGAUCCGAUCGGUUGUCGUGGCAUCCAAGGGCAAACAACAGGCUUUUUCUCCUGCUUCCGUGAGGAGCGAUGCUUUGCGAUAGAAGUACAGUUCCAGCCAGCCAGCGCUUCUUCACAUGCACGCACACACACUACUCGCACAAGCCCAGCGCCCAUCGAAGAAGGCGAAUUAUCUAUCGCAUCGUUGCUCGGGUCUUCCCGUGGGAGAAAGCAAGACGGGAAGGAUUUAGAUCUUACGUCAGGAGGAACACGUGUUCGAGCAAAUGGCGGGAUUUUUUUUGAAUGACUACGCAACUGGAGUCAGAAUGGGAUUACGCAUCCCAGCGGGACGAUAGCUGGAUAAGGGAUAAGGCAAGUACGCAACCUUUAAAAAGCUUUCGUCUUAAGAGUAGAGCAUUAGAGUAGAAAGAAUAAAGUCUCGAUCUAUAUUCUAA